rnacentral:lncRNA from 1 species
AUAUAAUUCACUUAUAUGUGGAAUAUAAAAACAAAAUGAAUGAACAAAGAAAACAAAAUGAGAAUAGUAAGAAAUAGACUUACAGAUACAGAGGUCAAAUUAGCGGGUUUCCAGAAGGGAGGGAGGUAGGGGGUUGGGUGAAAUAGGUGAAGAGGAUUAAGAGAUACAAACUUCCAGUUAUAAAAGGAAGAAGCCACAGGGAUGUAAUAUACAGUAUAAGAAAUUUAGUCAAAAAUACUGUAAUGAUUUUGUGUGGUGACAGAUCCUUCCUGGACCUGUGGAGAUCAUUUCAUAAUGUAUUUGACUAUUGGAUCACCAGGCUGCACACCUGAAACUAACAUAAUAUUUUACAGUCAACCAUACUUCAAUUAAAAAAGAAAAAGAAGAAAAAGAAGGGCCUUAGAAAUUGUGCUUCUUUCUUUCUCCACUGUUUCAAAUUCAUGUUGUGGUUUUGGUUGGGUGCUGGGCAACAAGUGUCAUCAGUGGGCAGUGCUGCCCAAGGCGGGCUGGCUGGCAGGACUCUAUUCAGAGGUGAUCACCUUUAGAUUCUGAUACAGGAUGAUGAUUAGGCCACAGCGGCUUGUAUUGUAUUGUAUUUAUUCGUUUCCUUUUACUUCUUUUAUUUUCAGUUUGUUUCCUUUCUCGCUGUGUAGUUCUCAUCAGUCUUCUGCUUUUAGUGUCAGCAGCAUCAUCCUCAUCAUUUUCACCUGCCCAUUUGCCUGUAGCUGCCUCAGCCUCUUCAUCUUCCUCUCCACUUUCUUCCUCACUAUCACUUUCUUCCUCUUCUAUAUCUACAUACUUCUUCCCAUUUUUCUCAUUAGCAUUCCCACUAGCAGGUGUGGCUCCUUCAUUCUAUGCCUUCUCCGCAAUUUCCUUCUUCUCCUUCACCUUGGUGGUGAUCUUGGAGCUGGUGACUAUGGCUGUGUCUGACACAAGGGGGCAUGCUGGUGAUUCCAUGCAAUGGUUUAAAAAGACAGUAAUUGAUCCAUUGUUCAGGUAUUUAUAGCAGAGUCAGUGUGGUAGCCAAGAACACAGACUUCAAAGUCAGAUGGGUCUGAUUCUAGGUCCUAGUUCUACCACUUCCAGGCUAGGAGAUCCCAGGCAGUUUAUUUAAACUCUCUAAACCUCAGGGUCCUUAUCUGUAAAAUGGGGUAGUAAUACUUAAGUCCUAAUGAUGUUCUACUGAUCAAAUGAUAUGGUACAUUUAAAGUUCUUAGUAUUGCCAGAUUAAUAAUCACAAUUUUUAUUCAAGUAGUAGGGUUGAUAAAAUAAAGUGUCUGUGUAAGGAAUAUCA